rnacentral:tRNA from 1 species
GAGGGCAUAGCUCAGGGGUAGAGCACAUGCUUAGCAUGCACGAGGUCCUAGGUUCAAUCCCCAGUCCCUCCA